AGACGACAUAGCGCCGAUUUGAGGCUCAGCUUGCGGGGCGCUUUAUAAAUUCUGCUAAAGAGAGCGGGCAAAUCCGCCC
rnacentral:ncRNA from 2 species